UCCGUCCAGCGUCUGUUGGCUUCUUUGGCGGCUACCCCCUUUCUAAAACCAAAGUUUGGCUUUUAUAUUUAGUCUUCAAAUGGGCCCCACCGACUUUUCCAACUCUUAAGCCAAAGGCCAAGCCUUUUAAUUUGCUUUGGCUUCCCUCACGUGCACUCUUUAAUUUGGCUAAUAUUUCUCAUGUCCUUUAGCUAAUAAUUCAGCCAAUCAAUUUAAUUGUUUCUUCUUCUCCUUUCGACUUUAUCACCACGGCAGCGAGCAUCAACAAUCUUCAACUCUCUCUAGCUUUGAUCCCUUUAAGCACAAAUUAUUCCCAAAAUGCACCUAAAAUAACAAAAUAUAAAAAUUAACAUAAAAUUAACAUAAUAAAAUAUAAUUUACUAAAUUAAAAAUUAACUAAAAUAACUAGAAUAUUUAAGACCAAAACAAGAAAAAGAUAGAGAAAUUAAUAGCAAAAUAUAUGG
rnacentral:lncRNA from 1 species